ACGCGAAAGGGGGGCACCCCCGAGUAGUAGUGGCGAACGGGUGAGUAAUACAUCGGAACGUGUCCAGUAGCGGGGGAUAACCUCUCGAAAGAGAGGCUAAUACCGCAUACGUCCUACGGGAGAAAGAGGGGG
rnacentral:rRNA from 1 species